AACGAACGCUGGCGGCAUGCCUAACACAUGCAAGUCGAACGAGACCUUCGGGUCUAGUGGCGCACGGGUGCGUAACGCGUGGGAAUCUGCCCUUGGGUUCGGAAUAACAGUUGGAAACGACUGCUAAUACCGGAUGAUGACUUCGGUCCAAAGAUUUAUCGCCCAGGGAUGAGCCCGCGUAGGAUUAGCUUGUUGGUGAGGUAAAGGCUCACCAAGGCGACGAUCCUUAGCUGGUCUGAGAGGAUGAUCAGCCACACUGGGACUGAGACACGGCCCAGACUCCUACGGGAGGCAGCAGUGGGGAAUAUUGGACAAUGGGCGAAAGCCUGAUCCAGCAAUGCCGCGUGAGUGAUGAAGGCCCUAGGGUUGUAAAGCUCUUUUACCCGGGAUGAUAAUGACAGUACCGGGAGAAUAAGCCCCGGCUAACUCCGUGCCAGCCGCCGCGGUAAUAC
rnacentral:rRNA from 1 species